CAAAGUGCAGGCAGCUCGGUCGGGCUGAGCGUGUCCAUUUCAGACAUCUCGGUUGGCCUGAGCCUCUGACAGGCAGUUUGGCUGGUCUCAGCUGCCUCUGGGCAGUUUGACCAGUCUUUACUGCCUUCAGGCUACUCAGUUUGUCAGAUUUUUUUCUUUGUAGCUUGUCUAGUCUGACUGUCUCCCGGAAGUCUUUACUGCUUAUAUACUCUUGGGGAAGGAGGGCCACAGUCAAUCUGAUCACUUUCAGAUAAAUAUGGGUUCCUCACUCCUCAUUGAGAAAAUUUCUCAUGGUAACAAGACUCUUACAGAAAACCUGAAGCAGUUAAAAAAGUGCAGGGUUGUGGAGCCAGUCCCGGUGGAUACUUCUGCAAGAGAACUGCCACUAGAGGACAUUCUGGAAGAGCGGGCAGACAGACUGUAUGAACCAGAGGAGCAGGUAGUUUGCUCUGAGGUUGUGCUUCUUGAGAAUGUCAGAAGUUACGCCCAUAAAGUCUCACAAACAUGACUGCCCAAGUGUGAGCUGAACGAGAACAACAACAAUAGACAUACCAAAGUGGACUGGGGCAAGCCCAUGAGGUCCAAAUUCUAAAUAAAAAAUAACAAGCUAUUAA